rnacentral:rRNA from 1 species
CCUACGGGAGGCAGCAGUGAGGAAUAUUGGUCAAUGGGCGCGAGCCUGAACCAGCCAAGUCGCGUGAGGGAAGACGGUCCUAUGGAUUGUAAACCUCUUUUGUCGGGGAGCAAAAGACGCCACGCGUGGCGUUCCGAGAGUACCCGAAGAAAAAGCAUCGGCUAACUCCGUGCCAGCAGCCGCGGUAAUACGGAGGAUGCGAGCGUUAUCCGGAUUUAUUGGGAUUAAAGGGUGCGCAGGCGGAAGAUCAAGUCAGCGGUAAAAUUGAGGGGCUCAACCUCUUCGAGCCGUUGAAACGGGUUUUAUGGAGUGAGAGAGAGGGAUGCGGAAUGCGUGGGGUAGCGGUGAAAGGAAUAGAUA